rnacentral:rRNA from 1 species
GACAGAGGCCCCAAGCGUUAGGCGGAAUCACUGGGCUUAAAGCGUGUGUAGGCGGAUCGUUAAGUGUCUUGUGAAAUCCCACGGCUCACCCGUGGAACUGCUGGGCAUACUGGCGAUCUUGGGCCAACUAGGGGCAGCCGGAACAAGCGGUGGAGCGGUGAAAUUCGUAGAUAUUCGCAAGAACACCAGUGGCGAAGGCGGCUCACUGGCCCGGUACUGACGCUGAGGUGCGAAAGCGUGGGGAGCAAACAGG